CUCCCGCCGGCUCUGAGACUGUCGGAGCUGCUGGGCACAAUGGGGGAGAGCUGAGUCUGCUUUGUAGCCCUAGCCUGAAGUCUCCCUGCCUUUGUGACUGCCGCAGGGAUGCUUCAGAGGCCUCGGGCUUGCCUUUGUGAGCACAAUUAAACCCCGGAAAAGGAAGGCUUCCUUCUCUUUCCUGUCGUCAUGACACCGGGCACUAGCGUCGCUUUACGCCUUCUGAUUGACAGAAGAAGAAAGGUCUAUGCUUUCUGUUGAUUUAACAUGAUGGGUUCCGGAGAUGUCCGCACAGUAGGGACAGCAUCUCCUCCUCGCUUGGAUUCCCGACAGGCAACUAACAGCUUAGAUGCCAGCAUUUGAAGCAUUGUGGCUGCUGGACAUUCUGCUCGAAGGUGACGAUCCUAAAAUGCCAACAGGCCCGUCUCCUUUGCAGAGGCCCCCUUAUCCCAGCUCAGCAUCUCUUGGGCAUCUCUUGGGCUCUGGCAGAAGUUUUGGUCUCUAUUAUCAGGUGCUUCCAAGAGUAAAGGUAUCAGCUCUCUAGCCAGAGAGCUGGGAUUCCAGUUUGCCCAGUGCUCCAGAAGACGGACAAACAGGAGUGCUACUUCAAUGCGGAACUUGGAACUGAGGAAGCCGUCUUAGAAUCAUAGACAUGGGUCUUCAAGGAUGGAUGGAAAUGAGCCGAAUGGAGGGAGAAUUGUACUCCAGAGAUGGGAAGGAACAUCCGCAGGAUGUUUCAUGCAAAGCAGGGACUUGAGUGAGAUUAGCAGGAAAGGGCUCUGGAUCAUCCAGGGUCUUAUAGUGAGUGUUACAAUUUAUGGUGUUGUGACCCUGACAGCAUGGGAGACCUCGGCGGGUGGGAGACAGACAGAUACGCCAUGUGGAGAGAGGUAAGGGGGUAUGGAGGAGAGAGAGAGAGAGAGACAGAGAUGACAGAGACACAGAGACAAAGAGGAAGGGGGAAAGGAGAGGCAGGGGUUGCCUCUUCAGAAGAAGAAUGGACAGAAAGAAAAAAAGGAAGACAGGAGGUGGGAGAUCAGCUUGCCUUGGUGGGAAGGAGAAGACUGGGAGUGGUCGGAACUUGCCUCUUAAAUGGACAGGGUAUCCCGGGAUGUGAUAGAGCCCGGGAGAGGUGGGGAUGAGCAGAAGGACUUCAGGUUAUCUGGGUCAUUGUCUCGUGGAGGACUCUGUCGAUCUGGCUCUUCUCCUUCGGCCUGUCUCUUCAUUUCAUCCAGAAGAGUGGUUUUACUCUGCCCUGUACAGUCCCCAUCAUAUGCUAUCCCAUCACAGCCCCAAAACAGCGAUGUCAAAUGGAUAAACUUCAGUUUCCUCAGCUAUGAGUCAAAAGAACCCCUUUGUCUUAGUAAAUCGAUUGGCUCGGGUGUUUGCUAAUAGUGAAGGAAAGCUGACUCAAUAGUGAAGGAAAGCUGACUCAUGACUGCAGGAACUCUAUGCUGAAAGCCCUUGUUUUCCCACUACCCUCGCCUGGGGAGGACAGCAAUUCAUGGUGUAGAGGACCUGAAAAUAGCUUGAGAGAAACAAAUGAGGCCUAACCAGAGACAGCAAGUGACAAAAGCAAAAUGACCCUCAAAACCUUGGUUAAAAUGGUAAGGGAGUGAGCUCAGGAUAUAAAGGGAGUUUAGGGAUGGCCUAAGGCCAGGGCUUUACUGCCUGGUGCACAGGACAUGUGACUCAGAAUCUGAGGCUACUGUGAGAAAAGACAUUGCAUAUGAGUCCUUCUGUUUUCCUAGCAAACUCCUCCAAACCAGUCCGCAGUCUUCCCUAAUCCCAUGCAAAUAGAAAGCCUACUAAAAAAAAAAAAAAAAAAAAAAAAAAAAAAAA